GAAGGUAUAGCUCAGUGGUAGAGCGCAUGCUUAGCAUGCACGAGGUCCUAGGUUCAAUCCCCAGUACCUCCA
rnacentral:tRNA from 1 species